CUCGUCUCUUUCUUCCUCUCUAACAUCAUCAAUGGCGUCUCCUUAAACAUCAAAAAUGGAAAAAGAUUCAAUCUUUAUCCACGUGAAAUCAAAUUAUCUUCUCUCCCUCUUUUGCUCUCUAAACAAAUGCCAAGCGUAAUUGCCAAACUCUAUAGCGUUUUCUUCAAAUAUCACCAAAAGCACCUUCUGCAGAGCCUGUCACAACCUCCUUUCAGCGAUAAAGCGGGCCCUUUUGGCUUAACCUCUCGGCCCCAUGAAUCUAUUGCCCCCAGCAAUCCUUUAUUCACUGACGGUGUCGCCACCAAGGACAUCCACGUCGACCCCUUUUCUUCUCUCUCUCU
rnacentral:misc_RNA from 1 species